AAAAUCCCAAUAAAGUAGUGAUUAAUAAUCUUUGAGUAGUUUGAGAAUAAUUAUUUUCUAUUAAAGAAUGAUAAGCUCAAGUUACAGUUAAUCCUGAUGAAAUUAAAAUAAUUGUAUUUAAUAAUGGAGUUUGAAAUGGGUUAAAUG